UACGUAGGGGGCAAGCGUUGUCCGGAUUUAUUGGGCGUAAAGAGCGUGUAGGCGGCCAGGUAGGUCUGCUGUGAAAACUCGAGGCUCAACCUCGAGACGUCGGCGGAAACCAUCUGGCUAGAGUCCGGAAGAGGAGAGUGGAAUUCCUGGUGUAGCGGUGGAAUGCGCAGAUAUCAGGAGGAACACCAACGGCGAAGGCAGCUCGCUGGGACGGUACUGACACUGAGGCGCGAAAGCGUGGGGAGCGAACAGG
rnacentral:rRNA from 1 species